CGGGUGAGUAAUGCCUAGGAAUCUGCCUGGUAGUGGGGGACAACGUUUCGAAAGGAACGCUAAUACCGCAUACGUCCUACGGGAGAAAGCAGGGGACCUUCGGGCCUUGCGCUAUCAGAUGAGCCUAGGUCGGAUUAGCUAGUUGGUGAGGUAAUGGCUCACCAAGGCGACGAUCCGUAACUGGUCUGAGAGGAUGAUCAGUCACACUGGAACUGAGACACGGUCCAGACUUCUACGGGAGGCAGCAGCA
rnacentral:rRNA from 1 species